GGACACAAUCUAUAUCUGCAAAUGUAUACAUCUAUUCUUCAGGUCUUCGUAGUAUUCAGUCUUGUUCUUGCCCUGUGAUUGAGUCUUCAUGGCAAAGAAUGGAAAUAUGGACACUGUUUGAGCUUUUAGCAUUGUAGCAUGCAAAGGAGUGCUCAAUGGAACUGAGAAGCUGUCCUGUAAUAUUAAGCUAUGAAGAAACACUUAAAAUUUUGAGGAAGAAGACUAAGACCACAUUUGUACAUCAUGUGCAACAUGCACAAACAAGAAUGAGCUGCAUAAUUGCAGGAAAGCGAGGAGACAGUUCUAUAUCCACAGAUUUGGGGACUACAGCCAAAAGUGAUGCCAUCGCUGGCUUGUGGUCGGUAACUAU